GUACAUGUGCGUUUCAAAUUCGUGAAAGCUCACCGACGCCCGUUACAGUUUAUCGCUUCAUCCAAUAUUUACGCCCGUUAGAAUCUGAUCUUACUGCACUUUGUCUUAAUCUUCUUGAAUUGAUAAGGAUAUCAACCAUGUGGGUUUUAGUACACUGGGUGGAAACAAGGAACUGUUACUUCUAGCGAUUUUGUAACAAACAAAAAGAUGUUGGUCAACUUGGUGGACCCGAACUUGAGUUGAGGGCCUGGUGGAGUCCGGAACCCCGCAGAGAAACGGCCGAAACAUUGGCUGGGAUGUGGAAGGCCAAGGUGUUAGUGGCCAGUGAAAAAAAGCUGAUGUACUAAAGAAAGAGGAGUUCCUAAAAACCGCAACCAGAGUAGAUGAGGCUAUGGAUGAGUCUGAUGCCACAGAUGAGGACAUGGAGGAUGAGGCUUCAACCUCAAAAAAAAGAUGUGAGAAAGAGGGUUGGGAAAGCUGACAGAUCUGCUAUGGCAGAGCUUCUAAAG